UGGCCCAUAGUUUUAGAAAAGAAGAUUUUUGUACAAGUUACAAAAAUGACGAAAAGUUGUUCAAUAUUGACUAUAAAGGGCAAUAACUCCUUAAGGGGUCCUCAAACAAUUUGAUCAUGUUGACUUAUUUGUAGAUCUUACUUUGCUGAACAUUAUUGCUGUUUACAGUUUAUCUCUACCUAUAAUAGUAUUCAAGAUAAUAACCAAAAAC
rnacentral:lncRNA from 1 species